AGUGAACGCUGGCGGUAGGCCUAACACAUGCAAGUCGAACGGCAGCACAGUAAGAGCUUGCUCUUACGGGUGGCGAGUGGCGGACGGGUGAGGAAUACAUCGGAAUCUACUUUUUCGUGGGGGAUAACGUAGGGAAACUUACGCUAAUACCGCAUACGACCUACGGGUGAAAGCAGGGGAUCUUCGGACCUUGCGCGAUUGAAUGAGCCGAUGUCGGAUUAGCUAGUUGGCGGGGUAAAGGCCCACCAAGGCGACGAUCCGUAGCUGGUCUGAGAGGAUGAUCAGCCACACUGGAACUGAGACACGGUCCAGACUCCUACGGGAGGCAGCAGUGGGGAAUAUUGGACAAUGGGCGCAAGCCUGAUCCAGCCAUACCGCGUGGGUGAAGAAGGCCUUCGGGUUGUAAAGCCCUUUUGUUGGGAAAGAAAAGCAGCAGGUUAAUACCCCGCUGUUCUGACGGUACUCAAAGAAUAAACACCGGCUAACUUCGU
rnacentral:rRNA from 1 species